rnacentral:rRNA from 1 species
CCCUUAGAUGUUCUGGGCUGCACGCGCGCUACACUGAAGCUAUCAACACGUUUUCCCUCCCUGAGAAGGGCGGGUAACCUUUUGAAUCAGCUUCGUGGUAGGGAUCGGGGCUUGCUAUUGUUCCCCGUGAACCAGGAAUUCCUAGUAGACGCGAGUCAUAAGCUCGCAUCGAUUAAGUCCCUGCCCUUUGUACACACCGCCCGUCGCUACUACCGAUUGAACGUUUUAGUGAGGCAUUUGGACCGACGCAUCUCAGUUUAACCGCUGGUUUGUGUUGGAAAGACUUCCAAACUUGAGCGUUUAGAGGAAGUAAAAGUCGUAACA